rnacentral:lncRNA from 1 species
GAGAACACAGGCUGAGCAAGGCCAUCGAAAAAUAGAAGGGAACAAAAAGAAGGCUAAAAAUUAGGGAUAGACAUAAAUAUAUAUUAGAGACUAGAGAGAAGAACGGUUUUAGGAGCUCAAAAAAAAAAAAAACCUAACAACCUCCUUCUUCUUCACUAUUUUUUUAAUACAAGAAUACUUCAUCUUCCUCACUUAGAUUCACCGUAAAAUCACUGUUCCCUCCUAAAAUUCAAUCAUAAAAAUUGGCUGAAUCACCAUCAAAAUACAGCCCAACAGGCCCGAAAACACCCCAAACCUCAUCUACAAUUAAACGCCCACAAAAAUCAAUAAAAAGCAACUUCCAAAAUUCCUCCUUAACAACCAUAAAUCACCGGAAAAUGCUAUUAAAACAGCCUUUCUCACAAAAAUAACAAUUUUAAAAUAGCUCCAGUGAUUAAGGAUUAGCCAUGGUCACUUUCGAGGUUGCCGUUGAGGUUGUGGCUGAUCAGUUCUGCUCGAUUUCAAGGCCCUUGUUUUAGUUUUUUGUUCUAUUCCAAUCGUUGUUGCCGGAUAUUCUUAUACUCGACAUCACGAGACGUUCUUAUAUUUAAAAUUUUCAGCCUCUAAAGGUCCAUUCUAAUAUUUGAGUUUCACUUGGCUGAUUUUAUUGAGGUUCUUAAUAUUUGAUUGGUGUUCAUAUUCACUAAGGUGUAAAAUUUUUACAGCAUAUUCAUGUUUUAGAAUUUUGGUUUCAUUUAGCUACAUAUUCUCUUACUCUUGAAUUUGCUUAUUUA